CACAUCUCUUCACACACUUCCUCUCUUCCAUAUCUCUUCUACUCUUCCAUGUAAUCUUCCCUUGCAGCCCUCUCUCCCAUCCUUCGGUCUUCCUUGGUGAUUCCGAAGAAUUCCCACUUUUGAGGAGGAGGCAACAAUAACAACAUAGCAGAGACAUAACAUAUCCUCCAAGCACCCUGUCUGCUGCUUUUUUUUUUUAUAUACAAUGGAGGUUUAAAAGUCUAAUUACAAUGAAAGAGAAAUCCUAAAUAACUAAUAAAAGGGCACGGAUAGUCCCACUAGAUAUCAAACAUGCAACCUCUUAAAAAACAGACGACGGAGAACACUAUUACACUAUACCUUCUUUUUUGUUAGGUUUGCUGCUUUGUUUUGCUUUUUGUUGUUUGUCUUUUGUUUUUCCUUCGGGUUAAUAGGGUUCCUGAUCCAUAUAACUCGACCCACUAGCUGUCAUAUUUACAAGCCAAUUUUGAUAGUUAUGGGUAGGUAUUUCCAACCAGAGCCAGCCCGAAACUUGAUGCACCAACCUGAAUUUGGAAAACCGGAACCAACGCCAACCACUUUCACCUCUAACUGUCGCUCAUUCAAAUCUAUCACUACCAAUAAUAAUGGCAUUUCCUCAAACUCAUUGACUAUCUAGGGUUAAAGCUGUGUAGCGCACGCUAAUAACCAAGAUGUUUUAGAUGCAGUACUUAGUAAGACUAUUCGUGUCCAUUUAUUAGUUAUUAGAAUUUAUAUUUCAUUAUAUUUAUUAGACUCAGGGGCUUUCCUAAUAAAAAAAAUAUUACCGAACUUAAAGUUUCGGUAAGAAAGCCUAAAAUGCAUGAGGAAUUUGUUUUAGGGUUUAUUUUUUUUUUAAAAAACCAACGAUACUUCUCUUUAAAAGAAACCAACGACACCAGAUGACACGCUUAAAAAAAAGCGCAUACUCUCAAAAUUAUUUUGUUUAUAGGCACUUUUAAUUUAGUUGACCUCUUCUUUAGAAAAAAAUAUAUCUUUUUUGAAAAAAAUAUAUAAUUCUAAAACAAGAAAAUUAAAAAUAAAAAUAAAUUAAAGGAAGAUGCUCUAAAGGAGCUAAAGGCGGCGGUAGGGGUCCCUUAGUCUGCCAUUGUAGUGGGAUUUGUUAAUUUGUUUUAAGGAAGAAAGGGGGAUAGAAUAAACUACCAAUUAAUAAUUUGCCACGGCCAAGGUAAGAUUGUGACAAAGUUUGCCCCACUAGUUUUUCGUUAGAAAUAACACAAUACUAUAUAUAUACAUAUAUAUAUAUAUAUAUGUAUGUCCAAGAAACAAAAUGUGAUCUCUAACGAAGCUCUCUACCCAAACCGUAAGAAACCCCCAAACUCGAACUUCCGCCGCUGCCGCCUACACGUUCGCCUCUGGUUGGGCACUUUUCGGCGGCAAUCAUUGGCUAUUGCUACCCACCAUGCACCUCUACCGCUCCUCUACUGCCGAUUCGCCUUCAUCGCAUGCUGCUUCCUUGCCUUCUCGGCCUUCCACCUUCAAAUUCCAUCGCAGACCAGAAUUGACUUAUCUCACAGCAUACCUCACCAGAACGACCUGAGCAAGACUCUUUUGGAGCCCGUGAUAGUCACCUCCUUUCGGUUCCAAGUUAAAACCCUUGGCCUCUCAAACAUUCAUCGUCGACAAUUUACUGACGUAGUCCGAUGCCAUUAUUGUUUUUGUUUCGAUAUCCUUCUUGGUAUUCCAAAGGUGGUUCCGAUCUGUUUAGUUCAUGUUAGUGGCUGGUAUGUAUUAGACUGUGCCUGGUCGACUUUGAUCUGCUAGGAGAUGUGUGGGUGUGCUCUGUUGUUACGUGAUAUGCGGGUUCUUUUGUUAGUCCGUUCCCAUAUAAGGGGUGCUUCCACACCCAACAGAUGUAUGGAUGAUUCGUCAUCUUGGAUGGCCUAUGGCAUUGUCGGCAGUGUCUUUUUUUUUUUUUUUGCUUAAUAAAAGGCUAGGUCGGAUUAUUGGCCCUCUGUGGCUGUCCCAA